UACGUAGGUGACGAGCGUUAUCCGGAUUUAUUGGGCGUAAAGCGCACGCAGGCGGCAGAGAAAGUCUGACGUGAAACCUCCCGGCUUAACUGGGAGCGGUCGUUGGAAACUACUUGGCUUGAGGCGAUGAGAGGGGUGUGGAAUUCCCGGUGUAGUGGUGGAAUGCGUAGAUAUCGGGGGGAACAUCAGUGGCGAAAGCGGCACCCUGGCAUUAGCCUGACGCUCAUGUGCGAAAGCGUGGGGAGCGAACGGG
rnacentral:rRNA from 1 species